UCAUAACCGUUUUUCCCUCCAAACAACUCACCCUGUCACUCUCUUUAAAUUACUCAAUCAGAAUUAGUUUAGCCUGUACGGUCUAACCCUAGCCAAUAGGGGAAUGACAAAGCAGUAGGGACCAUGUGCAUAAGGAAAAAUAACCCCUUUCCCUCCUUUGUCCAGGUGUGCACUCACCAGUCCUCCAUCUGUAAGGGCAUACCCUUCUAUAGAAGUACCUUGCCCUGCUGAGAAUUAAAAAGAAAAUUUUAUAUUCGAGUGCUAUUUCUUUUGUGGCACCGAAACUUUACUUAUAACAAUUUGGGGGCUCAUCCGGGAUUACAUUCCCCUCCGGGGGUGGUCUCUGGUUCUCUCUUGUGAGGAGGUGCACCCCACCCCACUGUGGCGGCCUCAGGGGUGAGAAAUCAAGACCCACCCAGUGUGAAGAAUAACCUGAGCUCUCAGCUACAUGGAAAGAAACUGGCUAGCAACCUAGCUUAAAGCAUCCUCCAUAAGGGCCACACAAGUGUGUGCAUGGACCGAGGAAAAGACACCAUGGGAGCCGGUAAAGUAUUUCCUUGGUGGUUGGGAGCAAGGAUGAAGAGAGCUACCCUUAUCACCACAUAUGGAGAGCCAGCACCAAGAUGAGUCAGUAUAAAAAGACCUUACUAAAAUAACCCUUACUUUCAGUAGUUUCCUGAUAUAUUUGCUAGUCACUUUCCCACAAGUUAUCACCCCUAGAAGCCUAAAACCCUUCUCCUUUGUCUAGUCACUUCUUUAAAAUUUAUUGCCUUUUGUUAAAAUGGUAUGUAAUCUCUUAAGCCUAACUGCUUCUUUGUUUUUUUUUAUUUUUUUACUUCUUUUUUUUUAUGAAGCCCUUGUGCACACAAAAUUAAAAAUAUUAAUACUAUUUUUAUGCCUUUUCUCCUGUUAAUCUGACUUUUGUCAGUUUUGUUCACAGACUCCAGCCACUGAUCAAAAGAGGGUGGAGGAAAUGUUUUCCAACCCUACAAUGCACACUGUAUCUCUGUGCAGCAUACACCUCUGUACGACAAUUUCCCUUGUUGUUUGCCUGAAGACACAUGAGCUGCAACUCUGAAUCGGGAAAUAGAACUUCAAUCACUUUCGUGGAGCAAUUGGGGAAUGAAACAACCUUGCAUGCUCCUCUGAGGAGUAUGCCAUGAGAGCUCAGAGGCUACUAUUAUUGGCUGAACAUUGGUGUCAAAAUCUUGAUUGAUGUCCAAAUGCUUCUGGUCUCAUCCUAGACUUGUGAGGUUAAUUAUAUUCUAAAGCAUACCAAGCUCUUCGUGUUUGCUGCUGGAGUGACUGUGUGUUCCCUUGCCCUUAGAUGAAGAAAUGCUUUCAAAACCUCUGAAGAUGCCUGAAUGGUCUGAGGUUCUAAUGGUUUACAUUUUCUUAUCGUUCAUAUGGAUAAAAAUAUGGCUGCAUUCCAACUGUCAAGAUACAUUUGUGUGUUGCCUAUAAAACUAGCUCUUCUGUUUAAAUGAAGAGCAGAUAAAAAGCAUGUAUGCAAUUAGUCUAAUCGGUUCAAUGGCAAAUUACAGAGCAAAGAUUGUGGUAGGAUAAUCUUUCGGAUUAUUCAUUCUGAGUUUAAAAAUGUUUUGGCUUCUAACAGAAAUCCUUUAAUUAUAUGCUAAAGUGGUGAUAACCUCAUUACAAUAGUUUUGCUUAUUCCUCAAAGCAUUUAUUAGUUUACUUCUUUAAAAUUUGAAAGUGACUAUAAAGUUAGGAAGUAAACAUUUUUGAAAGGAUCAAUUAAUGAUUUAAUAAUUUGAAUUGUUCUCCAAAGAUUAGACAUGGCAAUUGAAAAUAAAUGUAGAAAUCUCUUCCCUAUGCUCAUCAAAAUUUUGACAUGUAUUCAUAUGCCUACUUAUAAAGGAGAUUGGCAGCACAUAAUUGAUACCAUCUAGCCUUUAUUUACAGCAAUCAAACAUAAGACCUUGACAACAUUAACAUGCCCUGUGUGCAUGUGUGCACAUACUCAUAUAUACACACACUCAUAUAUACACACCCACACAUAUAACACCCAUACACACACAUACAUAUACACACAUAUACACACAGAUACAUAAACACACACAUACUCUUCACAGUCUUUCUAGGUGAAUCCCCCAAUCUAAAAUGGCCUCCCUCCACACACCCUGUUUGUUUGUAUUAUCUCUAGCUUGCCUUUGCUUUUUGUCAUUGCCCAGGAGUGCCAAAUGCACCCAAUUUCAUCUUCAUUUGUUUAUGGGCUUGUCUAUCUCCCCACUGGAACAGUGCCCAGGGGGGAUAGUGGCUGUUUCUGAAUUGUUCACUGCUGUAUCCUCAGUACCUAGAUCAAUGCACGGCUCACGAUAGGUGCUAAGAAUUUGUUCAGUGAAUAAGUGACUGUUCCCAUUUGGACUUAAGCUUGUGCAGGGAAAAAAACAGACUGCUUUUCCUCUGCUCUCACCCCACAAUCAACACAGAAGACUUCUAUGGCCAAAUGUGUGCAUUUUUCCCCCCAUAUACUAAGCAAUCAAUCUGUUCCACAGCAGAUGCCAGCUGGGAGUCCUCCAGCCCAGGCAGUGCUGAGUCUACUGGAGAUAGCGUCAGACCCCACGGAAUGAAGGCUCAGUCCCACAAGACUGCCUCCACUUCCGGUGCCAAUCGCAAACCCCAGGUUGUUCACUUGUCUUCUGACUGACCAGCUAUAAAUCAGGGAUCCCAUGGAGCCGCUCAUAGAACUCAGGAAAUCUCUUAUGUUUGCUAGUUUAUUACAAAGGACGUUACAAAGACUGCAGAUGAAGAGGUGCACAGGACAGGGCAUGGGAGAGGGGUGUGCCACCCUCUAGGCACCUCCACGUGUUCAGCUGUUUAGGAAAAUCUCUCAAACCCUGUUCUUCCUCUCCUCUCACACCUCAGCAGCCAUCAAUGCAGAAGACUUUUGUGACCUAAUGUGGUGGGGUUGGUUUCUUCACAUAGCAAUCAGUGGACACCAGCUGGGUCCCUCUAAUUCAGUUCUAACGCUAUCUACUUGGAGGUAACCUCAGAUCCCACAGGUUGAGGCUUAGUCCCCAAGACAGCCCGCCUCAGACACCAGUGGCAAGUCCAGGCUCUGAAACUUCUGACUGACUGGCUGGCUAUAAAUUGGGGAUACCAGGACCCUCUUUGGGUUUAAUUUGUUGGAGUGGCACACAGAACUCAGGGGAACACCAACUUGUGUUUACCAGUUUAUUGUAAAGGAUAUUACAAGGAUACAUCCAUCAAGGAUACAGAUAAUGAGAUGCGGAGUGAGGUAUUGGGGAGGGCACAGAGCUUCCACGCCCUCCGUGGGUAUCACGCUCCAGGACCCUACCCAGGCUCAACCACCCGGAAGCUCUCUGAACCCUGUCCUCUUGAGUUUUUAUGGCAGCUUCAUUAUGUAGGCAUGAUUGAUUAAACCAUUGGCCAUUGAUGAUCAACAUAACCUCCAGCUUCUUCCCCUCCCUGGAGAUUAGGAGGUGGGACUGAAAGUCCUAGCCCUCUAAUUGUGCCUUUGUCUUUCUGGUGGCCAACCAUAUCCUGAAGCUAUCAGUAAACAUCAGCAAACAAAAAGACAGCACUUCGAAGUUUCCAAGGAUUUUAGGAGUUGUAUGCCAGGAAAACUGGCGAAGACCAAAUAUAUGUAUUUCAUAAUAUCAUAGCUUCCUUCUCUGAAUUUCUGUAAGACUUUAGCUUCACAUGUGAAAAUAAGUAAUUCAAAAUCUAAGCUACUGAAACUUUGAAAUAUUUCAAGCCUUAAGGAAAUGUGAUUAUGGGAUCUGAGUCAUGCAAACAGGCAGCUGUAAUGUAGGCAGCUGUAAUCUUUAUUUCUCUGAUUAUAGAUUAGCCUUCUUCCUUACCUACAGUGUUUUGUAAAAUGCUGCAAAUGACUAAAGAGUGACAAGAAAGACCCCUUCCCUCUUCACUACUGAUCUUUGUUAUAGAUUAACAUCCUUCUUACCUUUCUCACACAAAGACUUUGGCUAUCACCUUGCCUAAAAUAAAAUGUUAAAUAUACACUUUUAAAUUGGAAACAAAAACUAGCUGUAAAGAAAAGAAAACGUGUCACAUGGAGAAAAAAGCAAACUGCACUAAUUAAAUUUUUGCAACUAAUAAACCAGACUUGCAUAGAAAAUGUUAUAAUCCUACUAAACUUCUUUGUUUUCUGCCUAAUGAGAAAUAAAAAAUAAAAUCCUAAGCCCCCCAUGUGACUAAACAGACUCCCUCUUAGCCAAGAGGACCCUGAAGAAACCUUAAAAAAAACAGCUCUCAGCCAUGACAGUAUAGGAUGUCAGAUGGGCCUCAUGAUAGACCCUCCUUUGCUAAAUGCCAUUAGACUUUCUUUUCCUAAGCUUUAAACAAAAACCAGCCCUCCUGAAAGACUUACUUGACUGCUGAUUUCAACCAAUCACCUGACACUACCCCGGUUUGGUGGACAGCAACUGAUCAACAUUCCUUCCUGGCUGACACACAUAAUUCAUCACCUCCUUCAUCUUACUACAGUCAUUCAUUCAUUUACCAUGUCUUCCUGUGAGCUCCCUGAGAGCAGGUUCUGUGGUAGGUAAAUUUGUGUUCCCUCUGGCACUCAACUCAGGAACUUGACAUUGAAAGGUGCUUAAACAUAUUAUUGAAGAAAUGCAUUCAUCUAUUCAAGUCCUGUUUCCUAAGAACAUUUCAGUAAAGUCUAUUCUGUAAAAAUGUUCAUCUAUGGACAUGUAUAGAUAUUUGUUUGAUUAUAGCUAGGAGCCAGUAUUAGCAUUGAAGAUUUGUUCUUAUAGUGCAUGUUCUCAUAAAACCAAGUCUGGACACGAUCAGUUUCUGUCCUUGGCACAAUUGGAGAAAGAUCUUUGCUGCCACAAUUUCCUAAAUGCCUGUCUUGUUGUCCAAGCAUGAAAGGGUUUCCUUUGCCACAUCCUCACUUUGCACUUCUCAGAGUCAGGUUCUCUGUGUCCCUGGUGCUUAAAUCAUUUUAGGCUAAAGGAAAAUGAUAAUGAAGACACAUAUUCUCCCUCUCAUUCACUGCCUCUCUCUUCUGGUGGUUUCUAUCUUAAUGGAUUGAUAUAGUUUGGCUCUGUGUCCCCACUCAAAUCUCAUGUUGAAUUAUAAUUCCCAAUGCUGGGGGAAGGACAUAGUGGGGGGUGAUUGGAUCAUGGGGGUGAAAUUCCCCCCUGCUGUUCUCAUGAUAGUGAGUGAGUUCACACCAGAUCUGAUGGUUAAAAGUGUGUGGCACAUCCCCAUUUGCUGUCUAUCUCUCUCUCCUGCCACCAUGUAAAGAGGUGCAUUAGAUUAAAUGAAAUGAAAUAAUAUUUACUAACUACGUCCUCUUCACCUUUUGCCAUGAUUGUAAGAUUCCUGCGGCCUCCCAGUCAUGCUUCCUGUUAAGCCUGUGGAACUGUAGGUCAAUUAAACCUCUUUUCUUCAUGAAUUAUCCAGUCUCAGUAGUUCUCUAUAGCUGUGUGAGAACAGACUAAUACAUGGAUCUUAAUCCUAGAGAUGGACUCUUAAGCAUUGUCUUUUUUGGGACAGCACUGGAAUAAAAAUUUUCAGAUUUACAUGAGCCAAGAGAAGAGAGCAACGCUCUGAAUUAUCCUUGGGGAAACGGGGGAAGACAAAGUCUGCGGCACCCUGCAACUCACCCCGUAAGCUGUCGGCCUGCUGUAAAGACAUGUAGGGUGUUAAUUCCUUAUAUGACAAAACAAAUUUUGAUAAAUUUGAUUAGAAUUUUAUAUCUUGUGCUGUUUUCUAGGAUGCACAUGGGGAAGACGGACAUUUUUGUAAUUUUAGUAAAGUUCUGUAGGAUGAUGCACUGUGUAGCUAAAGGUGGUUGUUGUUGUGAUCUCAUGUUAUGGUUCUAGAUUUCCAGGUAGUAAUUUAAGUGUAGAGUAACAUAAUGGUGCCAGCCAUUCAUUUUAUGUUAAGUGUGCUUUUCCCACUCUCAUACCACAAAGGCAAUGUUAAAUAAUUACAGAGAAUUGAUUAUGAGGCCAAGAAAAUGAAAGGCUACUUUUGAAUGAUGCUUUAAUACAACUUAAAAGUUAAAUGUGAAGGAAACAGAUAGACUUCUAGAUUCAUUCAGAGCCCAAGGCCCUGUUACUUCUAAAAUCACAGAGUUAAUAAUCUCAACUUGGGGAGACUGAUUUGCUGUUAAAGAUCAUGCAAAGAGUGAGGCUAGUGAAUAUUAGUGAUUCUAGAAAAGUGAUUCUCAAAUAUUUUAUUACGUUGCGGCUAACAAAAUUGUUAAGGAGAGACCUGAGUAGAGAGACUCCUGAGUGUAACACUUAGUACCCUGAAAGUGUAAGAUUUGGACUCCAUUUUAUGAACAUUUUAAUCCACGUGAUCAUUGUUUUGAUUGAAAUGUCUAUAUAAUUGAGCCUGGUCUUAACAUUUCCUUAAAUAUUCACCAUUAGAAGUAAUCUUCUGUGAAAAAAAAAAAAAAGGAUCUCUUAGUUGGCUGAUCUUGGCUUGCUCAUUUUAAUACUAGGAAAAUGAUGUUAAUUUUUUUAAGAAAGACUUAAUGGUGCCAUGAUUAAGGGUGAUGGUUACUGGUGCUUAAAAAAAACUUCCCUCCCCAAUUUUAUGAUAUUUGUGCAUUUUAGAAAUUUUUGGAUAUCUUUUAAGGAAAGCACUGAGCAUGUCACAGAUAACCUCUGUUGAUAUUUUUACGUAAACCUUUCUUUUUACUGUGCUUACGACAUUUUUAAUAAAAUAAGAUCACAUUGUGCAAAGUAAAUAUGGAGUCCUUUGUAAUCUGUAUUAUUUUAAAACUGAAGUAUUAAAGAUUAUUCCAUUCCACUUAAUAUUAUUUUUCUGCAUCAGGCAUUUGAACAUGUGGUCUGUGACCCCACAUAAGGAGGUGAUGGCAGUGAUGCCACCGCCCAUCAGGAAGGCAGCUGCAGCCUCACACCCAACAGCAUUGAACCUUAAGGUCAUGGCUGGGAAUGUAGACCCGUCCAAUGUUCUCAAUUUGUUUUCCAGUGAGGGCUCUAGGACGAAAUCCUCUUUCAUGAGUCAUGUGAAAGAUGAAACGUGUGGCACUGAGUUUUGCAUUCAAAAUAAAAAGAAUAGACUAUUCUAACAUCUGUUACGUUGCUGUUUUGCUUAUUCUUGUGGAACUUAAGAACAAAGUGAAAACACCUAUUGGUUAGUUGCUUUCAAAUAAAAUGUAUUCAUCGCUAAUUUGUCCUUGUGAAAGGGUGCCCAUUCCUAAUGCAGGUGCACUGGCCGUGUGCACUCCAUGGUCCCAGCAGCUCUCGCUCCCUGGACUCCCGCCGUAGUGAGCGUUUACUAAGGACCUGUUGAUCUGGAAAGACAAACCCAACCCAAAGGAGAUUAAGUUUUACUCCUUUUGCUUCUUUUUAGGGUAUCGUGCAGCAGUUUUUGGUGUUACUGACGACCAGCUCUGACGAGAGUCUUCGGUUUCUUAGCUUCAGGCUGGACUUCAACGAGCAUUACAAAGCCAGGGAGCCCAGGCUCCGCGUGUCUCUGGGUACCAGGGGGCGGCGCAGCUCCCACACGUGAAGCUCGCGGUCCUCCCAGGGAGCUGCGGGUGAUGUUCGUUGCACUGCUAGACACGAAAUUCCCAUUGACGUCCUGCAGGAACUGCAUGCUGCAGGUGUCCUGCCCUUCCGCCCACGAGUGCGCCAUGUUUCAGCGGAGCGGCGUGUGGGAGAAGCCACGUCGUGUUGCACACGUCGGAGUUGAAUGCAUUUGUAAAUCACUAAGUCAAGUAGGCUGGCUGCACUGUUCACAUUUGUCUCUAAAAGUCUUCAUCCCCAAAAGAUACCAUAAUUUGCUGAGGCUUCUGAAUCUUAAGUGCUCUAAGUUAUAACUUAUAUUUGUCACUUUAAAAGAACUGUUUGUUUAGCAAAAUCUACAGCAAGGGUAUAUUUAUAAAGUGAUAAUGUCAUUGCUGUUAUUUAGCAUCCUCUUCAGAAACUUUUUUUUGCAAUAUUAUUAGAUUAAACUGAAAUACAUAGAAAAUAUAGAGAGCAUUUUAUUAUCUUGGUAUUCAAGGUUGUAAAGUGUGAAAAUUUUUGUAUCUUACAUAUAUCUAUUCUUUUCUCUCUCCUUUCAAGGUUUACACUUACAGAUUUAAUUUACUAUUCUAGAUAACUUCUAAAAUAGUACAGAACACGAGUAGGAGUGUUGUGGAACAAAAACAUCCUUAAACUUAAAUUUCUUGACGCCACCAGCUGAAGCAGUGUGGCAACAGGAAUGACUAGAAAGUUAACAAAGUAUUUUAUUUUUACAAUUUUGAUGAGCAUUAUAAAGAAAUCGAUUUGGAUAAUGAAGGUUUCUUUUUUCUUUGACUAAUUUUUCCUUGUAAAUAUUUAUAUACUAUUGACCAGAUGCUGGGGAGAACGGUGUCUGUAAAAAGUCACGUCAUAUCAGCUUGCCUUUAUUAUGCUGUAUAAGUGAAAACUUAGAAAACUGAAAGCAAUUAUCUUUCAAAGCAUUGGCUGUUUUUUGAAUAGUCUAUUAAGUGACAGUUCAUUUGCCAGGGGGGCGGGGAUUGACAGGAUUUGAUUUAAUGUAGUACAGCAUAUGAAUUAUUUAAUCAUAAUUAGAAACCAAGAAAUUAGAUUUUGUGUGACUUUCGGUGUAGAAGCAAACGCAAUGUCACCACUCAGGUCUCAGGAGCGGUGCUUUAGUUAUCUGAAUCUGCCUCUGACUCCUUUAGGUGUGGAUUCCCUUUAAAACUAAAGGGGCCAUCAAGAAUCCUGGCCAUGCAGAAAUGAUUCCAUGGCAAAGGCCAGAAAUUCUUAGGAUAAAAACUUAAUUUAAUUUUAGUUUUCAAGUUCAUAAAAUCAGAAAUUUGAAACAGAUUUCUCCACUGCAAGUUGUCCUAGAAAUUAUGGCGUAUUGUGUAUCUCCGAGAGAGGUUUACCAAGGUUAUUAACCAUGCAGCCAGCUUUUAUUUUAUUUUAUUCAGAGAGUUGUUCCAGGGAUUAAUCCUCGGUAGAAACCACCCUAGCAAAGGCCCACCUCGAUUUUAGGGAUUACGACUCCAUUGGAGUGUAGGAGUCACCAGGACUUAGGUCAGAUCUGUGGGCUAUGGAGGGCUUCCGGGAGGUGCGGCCCUGGGGGGUGCCUGCGGGUCUGGAGGGUGGGAGCUGGGAUGGGGUGAGGCCUCUGAGGAGCUGCGUGAGACCCACUCUCCGUCAUUGUGGGUGCACAAUCAGGCCCCUUAGGGAGCCAGGGCCCCAAAACCCAGCAUCAGCCAAGCAUGGAUGACUUGGGGGUUCCACACUGGGGUUGUGCGUAAAGGAGAGCUCCUCUCAGGGGUGGGUGCGCCCGGCCCGGGGGUGCCACGUCUUCACCCAGAAAACGAGGCCGAGUCUGCAGGGGCCCUGCUGCAUGGAUGGAGGUGUGGGUGGUUGGUAGGACCCCAGGC
rnacentral:lncRNA from 1 species